UACGAAGGGGGCUAGCGUUGCUCGGAAUCACUGGGCGUAAAGCGCACGUAGGCGGACUCUUAAGUCAGGGGUGAAAUCCUGGAGCUCAACUCCAGAACUGCCUUUGAUACUGGGAGGCUUGAGUUCGGGAGAGGUGAGUGGAACUGCGAGUGUAGAGGUGAAAUUCGUAGAUAUUCGCAAGAACACCAGUGGCGAAGGCGGCUCACUGGCCCGAUACUGACGCUGAGGUGCGAAAGCGUGGGGAGCAAACAGG
rnacentral:rRNA from 1 species